rnacentral:rRNA from 1 species
UACGAGUGCCCCGAGCGUUAUCCGGAAUUAUUGGGCGUAAAGGGUGUGUAGGUGGUUUUGUUAGUCUUCUGUUAAAGCUCCCGGCUUAACCGGGAAAGUGCAGAGGAAACGGCAAGACUAGAGGAUGUGAGAGGUUUAUGGAACUCAUGGUGUAGGGGUGAAAUCCGUUGAUAUCAUGGGGAACACCAAAAGCGAAGGCAAUAAACUGGCGCAUUCCUGACACUGAAACACGAAAGCGUAGGUAGCGAAUGGG